rnacentral:rRNA from 1 species
GAUCAGCACGCCGCGGUGAAUACGUUCCCGGGUCUUGUACACACCGCCCGUCACACCAUGAGAGUUUGUAACACCCAAAGCCGGUGGGGUAACCUUCGGGAGCCAGCCGUCUAAGGUGGGACAGAUGAUUAGGGUGAAGUCGUAACAAGGUAGCCGUAGGAGAACCUGCGGCUGGAUCACCUCCUUU